GCUGAUAUAUCACAUCUGUCAAGUACUGGCACAAUAUGAAAUGAAUGAGAUGUGUGCAGGUAUAACCUAUUUUCCAAAAAUAUGAAAUGGAUGAGAUGUGUGCAGGUAUAACCUAUUUUCCAAAAAUAUGAAAUGGAUGAGAUGUGUGCGGGUAUAACCUAUUUUCCAAAAACAAGAAGUGACAUCCUUAAUGAACAAUAAAUAAGCGACUUAACAUUAUAGUGAAGAAAUAUUAAAUUAAAUCAGGCUUGAGUAAGGCUCAAGUUGUCCAAACCUUGGUCCAAGCCCAACCCAAAUUAAGUUUGGGUAACAAGAACUUAACUUAAGCUCAACCCAAGUAUUAAAAAUAAUUGCUCAAAAACGCUAGAAGGUUGGAU
rnacentral:lncRNA from 1 species